GUCCUAAAUAUCCUUAUUUCUAUCGUAAAAUAAACUACCAUAGUUUCGUUUUGGGCUCAAUUUAAAGCUUGUUUUUUCAUCUUUCGAAUGAAGGGUUUCUUGAAAAUUUUGAACGAAGGCUAAUCGCAAUAAAAAGAAUUUAGUACAAGCGCUCGUUUUUAGAUGCUUCGAAAUAUUAAUCUUCGAAGUCCCUUGGGGACUUAGUUAAAGGUAGUUUGCUAAAAUUUAGAACGUUGUUGUUUAAAACUUUACAAUCACCAUUCAUAAUGCCAAAGCUAACAAUUCCGGAAAGAACAUUCAUUGUUGAAAAGUAUUUCGAAACAAAAAGCGUUGUUGCAGUGUUAAGACAAUUUCAAAUAGCUUUUCCAGGACGUAAUCUUCAUCGAGCGUUUGGCGUAAUGUCAACAAAUACCGGCUGCAUGCAUUGAAUGGAAGAACCACCCCAUAAAGUUUAAAUCGACAUAAAGGAAACUCGGGAAGAAGACUUGUCUUGGAUAUGAGACAAAGAACGAACUUGUGCAUGUGAACUUAGAAAUGGAGGCCACGUUGAGUAAAUGUGUACUUCCAACUUAUUUUUUGGAACGUUUAAAUAAAUUGUGAAUUCAACACAUCUACGUUUUUUAAUUUUCCAAUUGCACUUACUUAAAUUGACACAGCUCGCCAGCAAUAACUCCAAAUUUUAUAAAAAAAGUACAUAAAAUAACCGAAAGAUCGCGAUUUCGAACGAAUGCAAGGACUCCUGUGAGGACUCCGUUUUUAUUGAUACACCCUGUAGAGCUUCUCGAACCCUCCACUUUGGCAUUCUCAACUAGUGCAUUUCACUUUCAGCUAUGUAAUGUACUAUUUCUUAAGACUAAUAUUUCUUAUUUUCAAUUCAAGACAACAAAGUAAACAAAUAUAAUAUCAAAUACUAUUUUUCAAGUUUGAGUUUAAAUGUUGUUACUUUCCAGCAUAAUAUUUAAUACGACAAUCCUGGUCAAAAACCUUGAUACAUUACACAUUUUCAUUGUUGAAUAUUAAAGCGCAGCCACUGUGUUAUAAAAGACUGAUCAAUAUACGAUCGAAUGAUCGAUCACUGACACUGUGGGAUCCAUCACAACAUAUCAAACUUUUUUCAAAUCAUAUACAAACGUUUAGACAAAAAAAACUCUCACCUUGUCACAGUACAUUUUGUACUGUUGUUUGGAAUAGCCAUGUACUAUUAAGUGAACACACAAAAAGUUAAAAACAUAUGCAUAAACAUGUAUAAUAGAAGCCGCCAUUUUGUUUCUAUUUUAGGCUGCCUGUUUGCAGGCAUGUAUUUAAGGCGGACGCGACCUGAGUGUUUAACCCACAAACAAUUCGAUAGCAAUGUAUCUAUGCUUCGCAUAGAUACAAAAAUCUCAAAACAUAAUCCCCAUAUCUCCCAGCAGUUUAACCAAUCAUACAAA